rnacentral:tRNA from 1 species
GCAGGAAUAGCUCAGUUGGUAGAGCUCCACCUUGCCAAGGUGGAUGUCGCGGGUUCAAGUCCCGUUUCCUGCU